CUUGCAACGUUCUUGUUUUCGGGUUUGCACCUCAAUACCUCAUGUUAUCUUCGAUCAACACUAGAGGUAUUACCGUCAUUCUAGAAGAUGAGCCUGCAAAGAUAAUGAUACCAAAAGCUAAAGUAAACCCAAACAACACAAGAAUCUACAGCUUAAAAUACCAUCAGAUGGAAAUGAAAAAUGCUUACAAUCUGCUUCGACAUGCUCGAGCCAAUCCUGCAUGCGCACCUAAGAUGAAUAAUCUACAACAAGGUUCAUCACACUGCAAAAUGGAACUGAGGGAUUUGCCACUGGAAGUACACAAUAUCAAAUGGGAUGUGAUAGUUGUUGAUGGGCCUCGUGGGGACAACUUAGAGGCACCAGGUAGGAUGGGGAGCAUAUAUACUGCAGCUGUGUUAGCAAGAGAAGGAAGUAAUAACUCAACAACAGAU
rnacentral:lncRNA from 1 species